rnacentral:lncRNA from 1 species
GUAAAAUAAUUAAAGUUAGAAAGUACUUAAUAAAAAAAUAUAUAGUUGAGCAAUUUAUUUCAAAAUGGCCUAUAGUUGAGGAAAAAUUCUAGAAUGCAACAGGUAUAUUAGUGACGUGGCGUAACAAACCAAUCAAAUUAAUCCUUUUAAGAAUAUAUGUCCCAUCAUGAUUGUAAAAAAGUAUUUUUAUUGUACUUUUGUUUGAAAAGAAGGAAUGUGAUUGGCUUGUUAUUGAUGACAUGGUGCAAGUGUGACAGUGUAGAAUUCCUCAUAGUUGAGGGGGUCAAAACAUUUCCCAAAAUUUAGAUAAAAAACU